rnacentral:tRNA from 1 species
CUCUGCGUCCUGGGAUUAAAC